AUGGCGCCCCCUUAUGGGAGGACACACACCUGGGAGCUCCCAGGCUAUCGUGAGUGGACUCUGAGGCCCCCCCAAAUGCAGCAGCUGGUUUCAGAGGCUGACGUGGGCUCCAGGAAUCACAGUCACCUAGUGGCUCACUGUACAAUGUACAAUGGCCCUCUACCCGGGGACCUCCAGAAGAAAUCAGGGCAGCCAGGGAUGUGCGUUCAGAGUUGGUUCUGGGUUCAGGUCCUGGCCUUGCCCGUCUCCAGCCAGGCGACCCGCACAGGUGGCAGGACCACGGGAGCAGCAGGUGGCCCGGUGACAUUGUUCCAUGAGGUCAAGGAUGCAAAAGUCGUAGAAGCUGCUGGAGCCUUGUUAAAGGGAGGGCCCCUCGUGUCUGCUGAGAUUCCUUCCCUCAGUUGUGUGUGCCCGGGGACCCAGCCUUCUUCCGGUGCUCACAACACAUACUAG
rnacentral:lncRNA from 1 species